AAAAGAACCACUGUCACCUGUAGAGCGUCAAUGGAACAUCUCGCUACUUGAGGGCACAAGAUUGUGACAUUGUUUAAAAGAGUACAAUGAGUCUGUGUAGAUGCUUUGGAUUCUUGCUGUUUGUCCUCCACAGCCUCCCAGGCACCACAGGUCAUUCUGUGGUGGUUAAUAUAUCUCAGCCAAUAGUGGCAAUAGUAGGUGAAGACACCAUCCUUCCCUGCCACCUGGAUCCUGCCGUAGAUCCUGCCUCGACGACUCUAGAGUGGUCCAGACCUGACCAGGGACACAGAUUUGUCCAUGUGAGGCAUGAAGGCGAGGACGCACUGACUGAUCAAAACCCGUCUUACAAAGGAAGAACGUCAGUGUCCAACAACACACUGAAGCAGGGAGACGUCUCACUGAAACUCUCCAGAGUGGAACUCUCUGAUAACGGGACAUACAGAUGCUAUAUUCCAAAACUGAACAAAGAGUCUUUCAUCAGUCUUGCUGUUGGUGACAUGCCGCCUCCUGCUCAUAAGAUUGUUCUUGUGGUGGCAAUACCCAUCAUGAUCCUUAGUUUGAUAGUUGUCUGUCUGACCUGUGACAAAAGAGCAGAUGAUGCUGAAGGUUCUGGUUCUAGGAGAUGUCGAGAGUAUUGUUCUGACUGUCCUGAAUGUUGUCUUAAGACGUGUAAUUACUGUUGUGAAAUCUGUAUGGAGUUGCCUUCUAUAAUCACAUAGGAAGCUUUACUGGCAGAAAGACGAUUCUUGGUUUAUAUUAGUGUAUAAUCACCUUAAAAUAAGAAUCAUUGUGUUUUUGUUGCUUUAGAAUGAGCUGUUUUCUACACAGGGAGCGGAGCCUCUUGUACUGAAUCCAUUAUGUUGAACUGCCAUGUUCUAUCUAUAAGUAUGUCUGGUCACUCAGUUUGGUGUCAAAUGUAACACAUUAUUUAGAUUCAUUUUAAAAUGAACAGGAAUUAAUUUAAUGAUCCAUUAUGGGUGAGUGAAAAAAGAACAUAAAGAAUUAUAGAAGGAAUUAUAUGAACAGGACAGCACUUUUUUAACCUAAGAAUGAAUUUGAACUGUCACUGGUGUUAAAUAUAAAUGAUGUUAUAAUGUAUAGAAUAAUGCAGUUUAAUGACUGUACCCACUGUCCUUUAAAUAACAGUCACAUUGUGAAACCUACAAUAUAACCCAAUGUAUGUAUAUUAGA